rnacentral:rRNA from 1 species
CGGAGGAUCCAAGCGUUAUCCGGAAUCAUUGGGUUUAAAGGGUCCGUAGGCGGUCUUAUAAGUCAGUGGUGAAAUCUCCCCGCUCAACGGGGAAACGGCCAUUGAUACUGUAGGACUUGAAUUAUUAGGAAGUAACUAGAAUAUGUAGUGUAGCGGUGAAAUGCUUAGAGAUUACAUGGAAUACCAAUUGCGAAGGCAGGUUACUACUAAUGGAUUGACGCUGAUGGACGAAAGCGUGGGUAGCGAACAGGAUUAGAUACCCUGGUAGUCCACGCCGUAAACGAUGGAUACUAGCUGUUGGAAGCAAUUUCAGUGGCUAAGCGAAAGUGAUAAGUAUCCCACUGGGGAGUACGUUCGCAAGAAUG